AACGGACGCUGGCGGCAGGCUUAACACAUGCAAGUCGAGCGCCCCGCAAGGGGAGCGGCAGACGGGUGAGUAACGCGUGGGAAUCUACCAAUCCCUACGGAAUAGCUCCGGGAAACUGGAAUUAAUACCGUAUACGCCCUACGGGGGAAAGAUUUAUCGGGGAUGGAUGAGCCCGCGUUGGAUUAGCUAGUUGGUGGGGUAAAGGCCUACCAAGGCGACGAUCCAUAGCUGGUCUGAGAGGAUGAUCAGCCACAUUGGGACUGAGACACGGCCCAAACUCCUACGGGAGGCAGCAGUGGGGAAUAUUGGACAAUGGGGGCAACCCUGAUCCAGCCAUGCCGCGUGAGUGAUGAAGGCCUUAGGGUUGUAAAGCUCUUUCACCGGGGAAGAUAAUGACGGUACCCGGAGAAGAAGCCCCGGCUAACUUCGUGCCAGCCGCCGCAGUAA
rnacentral:rRNA from 1 species